rnacentral:rRNA from 1 species
UAUGUGAUCGUCUCUCGCAUAUCAAUAAGCGGAGGAAAAGAAACUAACAAGGAUUCCCCUAGUAACGGCGAGUGAAGCGGGAAGAGCUCAAAUUUGAAAUCUUAAAGGGUUUCCCUUUACGAAUUGUAGUUUAAAGAAGUGUUUUCUGUUGAGGUUUUGGUAAAAGUUCUUUGGAAUAGGACAUCAUAGAGGGUGAGAAUCCCAUAUUUGACCUUUACUUUCAACUUUGUGAUACACUUUCAAAGAGUCGGAUUGUUUGGGAAUGCAGUCCAAAAUGGGUGGUAAAUUUCAUCUAAAGCUAAAUAUUGGCGAGAGACCGAUAGCGAACAAGUACCGUGAGGGAAAGAUGAAAAGAACUUUGAAAAGAGAGUUAAACAGUACGUGAAAUUGUCAAAAGGGAAGCGUUUGACACCAGUGUUGUUUUUCUGAAAAUCAAUUAAAGAACUGUUUAUGCUAAGCUGUUUAGACUUUAUCAGCUAUCUGUUUAGUUUUGAGCUUUUCUUUAAUGCACUUUUCAGUUAACAAGUCAACAUCAAUUUCUUUUGCUGUAAAAAAGCUUGAGGAAGGUGGCUUGAGAUUCGUCUUAAGUGUUUAUAGCCUCUUGCCUAUGCAGUCGGAGAGAUUGAGGUCUGCAGCGUAGAUCCUUCGGGGCUAAAUGCAUUUGUGCUAAGUUAUAGCAUUUUAUAGACAACUUGUUGACUAUGAUUUGUCUUGUAGCUUACUCGCUUAUGUUAUUUUACCUACGCUUAGGAUGUUGAUCUACAGAGCGAGAGU